rnacentral:hammerhead_ribozyme from 1 species
AUCCAGUUGGCGAGUCCCAAAUAGGACGAAAUGCGCAUCCUGAAU